rnacentral:rRNA from 1 species
AGUGGAUGGGGAGCAACCUAGUUGUGCGUGUGUAAAGGUAGUGCCAAGAAAAGCGAUGAUCAUGUUGAAAAUCAAUUCCCGGUACCCGAAACCGACACAGGUGGGCAAGUAGAGAAUACUAAGGGGCGCGAGGUAACUCUCUCCAAGGAACUCGGCAAAAUGACCCCGUAACUUAGGGAGAAGGGGUGCCACCGAGAGGUGGUCGCAGUGAAGAGGCCCAGGCGACUGUCUAGCAAAAACAUAGGUCUCUGCAAACUCGAAAGAGGAGGUAUAGGGGCUGACGCCUGCCCAGUGCCGGAAGGUUAAAGAAGUUGGUCAGUUUUAGGAUGAAGCUAGCGACUGAAGCCCCGGUGAACGGCGGCCGCAACUAUAACGGUCCUAAGGUAGCGAAAUUCCUUGUCGGGUAAGUUCCGACCCGCACGAAAGGCGUAACGAUCUGGGCGCUGUCUCGGAGAGAGGCUCGGCGAAAUAGGAUUGUCUGUGAAGAUACGGACUACCUGCAUUUGGACAGAAAGACCCUAUGAAGCUUUACUAUAGCUUGGAAUUGUGUUCGGGCUUCCUGUGCGCAGGAUAGGUGGGAGGCGUAGAAGGUAUUCUUGUGGGGAUACUGGAGCCAACGGUGAGAUACCACUCUCAGGAGGCUAGAAUUCUAACUUAAUUAAGGACAGUUUCAGGUGGGUAGUUUGACUGGGGCGGUCGCCUCCAAAAAGGUAACGGAGGCGUACAAAGGUUCCCUCAGACUGGUUGGAAAUCAGUCGAAGAGUGCAAAGGCAGAAGGGAGCUUGACUGCGAGAAGUACAGUUCGAGCAGGGUGGAAACACGGUCUUAGUGAUCCGACGGUGCUGUGUGGAAGGGCCGUCGCUCAACGGAUAAAAGUUACUCUAGGAUAACAGGCUGAUCUCCCCCAAGAGUUCACAUCGACGGGGAGGUUUGGCACCUCGAUGUCGGCUCAUCGCAACCUGGGGCGGAAGUACGUCCCAAGGGUUGGGCUGUUCGCCCAUUAAAGCGGUACGUGAGCUGGGUUCAGAACGUCGUGAGACAGUUCGGUCCAUAUCCGAUGUAGGCGUGAGAAUAUUGAGAGGAGCCUUCCUUAGUACGAGAGGACCGGGAAGGACGCACCGCUGGUGUACCUGUUAUGAUGCCAAUUGUAAACGCAGGGUAGCCAAGUGCGGAGAGGAUAACCGCUGAAAGCAUCUAAGUGGGAAGCCCACCUCAAGAUGAGUAUUCUGGUGUAAGGUCACGGGAAGACGACCCGUAAAUAGGCACGAGGUGGAAG